rnacentral:lncRNA from 1 species
UAUGGUCUCAGUGUCUUCUUGGGUACGCGGCUGUCCCGGGACUUGAGUGUUUGAGUGAGGGUCUCCCCUCGGGAAUCUUUCAUUUGGUGCAUUGGCCGGGAAUUCGAGAAUCUUUCAUUUGGUGCAUUGGCCGGGAAUUCAAAAAUCUUUCAUAAGUAAUAAAAAAAAAAGAGUAAAAGAGUGUCCUUAUUGAAGGAGGUUUCAAGAGCUCACAGCAAGCCCAGUCUCUGUUGGUCUCUACCUCAAGAUAAGAUGUAGGCUCUCUGGGUAUUGUUGUAGCACGAACCUGUCUGCCUACUGAGGUGCUCCCCCUACUGUGAUUGCCUUGUACUAACCCUCCAAAGGUGUAAUCCAGCUGAAAAUCAAAUGCCUUCUGUAAGAGUCGCAUUGGUCUUGGUAUCUCUUCACAGAGGUAGGAAAGUAUCUAAGUUACCAAUGUGUUCACUUGGCCCCGGCCUGGUCAAUAAACUUAGUAGUAAACUCUGGUUGUCUUUGGAGCCCAUUGAGUGGCCCCUCUCAGUCCAUCCUUGGAAAGCUAGGGAAGAUGUAGCAAAGGCAAAUGUCUACAUUGCUGAAGGGCCAGGGCUCUGGCCCUUAGGGAAGAGACCACAUGAGCAGCUUUACUCACAUUUGGAAUAUCUAUGACUCUGAUAAUGAAGCUGUGACAAUAUUUUCCUAAAUACGGGAGAGCCAUAAUAUGUCUGCCUGUGUCUCCCAGGAGCACAGACAAGUAGUUUGUAAAGCCAGGCCUCCCCAAGCAUUGCCGGGCUUUCUGGGGACCCAGUUUAGGUUCAGUAAUAAAGACACAGACACAUCUGUAUAGUAGAAGUCUGUUGUCCUGUUUUCUGGGCCAGCCACUCAGCUAGAUUUCAACUUAACACUUCGUCUGCUGUUGUUUCUCUCCAUGUGGCUCUGAAUGCAUGGAGUGGCUAUUCCUGGUUGUCAAAUUGACUAUAUCUGGAAUGAACUACAAUCCAGAAUUGGAUGGCUCACCAGUGAUCCUAAUCUGGAAGCUUGGGAGAUAAAAGUUUCUGACCUGGAUCUUGAUAUGGAGAUCUUGACGCCUAGUGGCUAUGGAUUCCAGAAGAUUAAGACAAGGUGAUCUCUGAGUUCAAGGUCAUCUGGGAUUAAAGGUGUGGUGGCACACACCUUUAAUCUGGGUUACACCUUUUGCUGGAGACUAUAUAAGGACAUUGGAAGAAGGAAAGCUCACUCUCCUUUGGCUCCUUGCCGUGUGGGACUGAGCAACUGCUAGAUCCUUGGACUUCCAUUCUACAGCUGCUACUGACUGUUGUUGGGUGUUGGACUGCAGGCUUGACCGGAAGCCCAUCACAGCAGAAAAGAACAGAGCACUUUAACCUAUAAAGACAAAGAAUUCUUCAGUUUGCAGUUGCAGUUCCUGCCCAAUGGUUUCUUUUGCUCAGUGGACCGUUAGUAAAAUGCGUGGGAAAAGUUGGACUGAAAAUGGGGAGAGAAGGAGUCCCCUCCACAACCUCAUGCUCAAGAGAUUCAGAGGGAGCACCCUCAAAAACCAAGUGCUAAAGAGGCUCAGAACGAGGACCCUCAAGAACUUCGUGCUCAAGAGAUUCAGAGGGAGCACCCUCAAGGACCAAGUGCUCAAGAGACUCAGAGCGAGCAACCUCAAGAACUUCGUGGUCAAGAGACUCAGAGGGAGCACCUUCCACAACUUCAUGCUCAAGAGACUCAGAGGGAGCACCCUCCAGGACCUCGUGUUCAAGAGACUAAGAGGGAGCACCCUCAAGAACCUCAUGCUCAAGAGAUUCAGAGGGAGCACCCUCCAGGAUCUCGUACUCAGGAGAUUCAGAGGGAGCACCCUCCAGAACCUCAUGCUCAAGUCACUAAUAGGGAGCACUCUCCAGGAUCUCGUGCUCAGGAUAUUCAGAGGGAGCACCCUCCACAGCCUCAUGCUCAGGAAACUCAGAAGGAGCUCCCUCUGUGACCUCAUGCUCAGGAUACUCAGAGGGAGCACUCUCCAAAACCUCAUGUUUAAGAGGAUGACGGUGAUUGAACCUUAUAUCAAGGUAGAACCGUGAGUCUGGUACUGUAGCAGCCAGCCAAUACCUUUCCAUCCACUCAGGAAUUAGCCUGUUCUGUCACGUCACCCCAAUGUCUCUACCAAACAUUUCAGGAAGACAAAGAAAAAUCUGUCUCUUCUGGCCAAGAUUUGAUUGACAAGCCCAGUUUCUCUAUUUUUUUGUCAGUGCAUCCCAACGUAGGAUCAAUCACAAAAGGCCAAAUAUGUUCCACAAACCAAUCAUGUAGGAGCUCUGCUGAAACUUACAGCCUUCAUCUUUCCGGUGACAAAGGCUUCCAAUCCUGACCUUCCCUAUUUCCACUGUGCUGUGUUCCAGUUCCCAGCCUGCUCUCAACACUUUGCCAUAGUGGAGAUAAUGGAGAUAUCGCGACCUGCCAAGGCAUAGCGACCUGGGAACAAACAGCCAGCACCUACUCUAUCUUGUGUGAUCUUCAUUUACUUAAUAACUGCAAGAAAAUUGUUGAAUUGAGAAUGAAACUGAGUAAUGAGUUAUCUCCAGGGAAUCCAGACUAAUACUCAUACAGCUCCGUUUCUGUCUUCAGUUUUCGUAUGAAUGAUUUUGAUGGCCUCACUCAUUGUUGAUAGCUCCUACUGAAAUUACUUGUCCUUUUCUAGUCUCUGUGUUGUUCUUAGUAAAACCAUGGACAAAAACGAUGCCCAACUUCUGG